ensembl:lncRNA
CCCGGGUCCGCCUGCGCCUGCGCCCGGCCCCGAGCGGCGGCGUUGUGUGCGGCCAGUGCCCGUGAGGGGCUGCGCCCUCAGCGGCGCCGCCGGGGCGGGCCCGGCCGCACGGAGAGGCGCUGCGGGAACCGGGGCUGCAGGGCUACUACCGUCCCCCGGGCUGCGAGGAGUGAGAGACACGGAGAGUUUGUUUGCAGAAACAAGCUCGGAGGGACAAGUCGAGAGGCGGAAAAAGAAGUCUGAAAAUCUUUCAGAUAAGAAAAGUCUCAAAGGAACAGUCUGCUUUUGCUAA